rfam:Bacillus sp. FJAT-27997 Scaffold1, whole genome shotgun sequence.
CAUGAAUGACCUUCUGUUAAAACCGCGCACGUCCUGACGAGCAACACAGAAGUUAGCACAUCCUGUGCA